AGUAGUGAGGAAUGGUCAACUUUCAACCCUACGAAGCAUGGUUGUCUGAAGAAGAUUGAAAAGAAUGACCUUAGGAGAGCUUAAUGACUACAUGCUGAAAUCUCAACCUCAGGUAAACUGAGAACCCUUACAAAUUUGAGAUUCCUAAAUUCAAUCCGACGAAUAAGUGUUUUAACAAUAUCUCAAUAACUACACUCUACGGAGUUCAUUUUCACUGGUGUUCUGAGUGAAUAGAAAUAUGGUGCUACCACAAAUUGCAGCAUGGGUUCUCAUCAUUUUCAUGUGCUCCCUCCAAUGAGGAGAAUGCAAUUAGUUAUCAGGUGCUGUGUUCAAAUGACCAUGUCUGAUACAACCGAUAUUGCUGAAUUUGUUGCCUUUGACACUGUAAUAACUAAACUAACUAAUAUCUGCGCAGCAAACCCUGGUUUAUGUUGCACAAGACUUCCAGGAUUGGGACCUCCCACAAUGCCUACAGGAGAUUGUUGGGAGCACCUUAAACUUCCAAUUGAGUCUAUCUCACUUCAACUUCAGUCCAUACAUCAGAGUUUCGCUGUUUCCCGCAUUUUUUCACAACAACCAAUGCCCACUUCAGCUUAAUUUUGAGGUUAAUGGUGGGAAUGAAAUGCCGCAAGCAUGUUCUCUAGAGCAGUCCCGUGAAUCAGGGUGAAAGUGAUGGUAAUGGGAAUGUUGCAGGUGAAAGAGUGAGCCAUUAGAUCCAAGUCAAACAUCUAUUGAUGGGAGGAAUAUAAGCGAGGACGGGUCAGUGAAGGGGGAAGGUUCCUAUGGCAAGAAGCCACAGACUAACAAAGAACAAGUGGAGCUUCAGAUAGAAGACUGACAUGUCCUAUGUUUUUGUUUAAAAAUAAAACUACCAAACACUAUGGUUUACUUUUUCAUGGUGGACUUUUUAAUUGGUUUCAUAUUUUAACG